GUAAGAAUCACCCUAAGAAUCUUGUUAAAAUGUGGAUUCUGAUCCCAAAAGUCUGGGGUGGGGACUCUUGAGAUUCUGCCUUUUUAACAAGUCUCCAGGUGGUGAUGAC
rnacentral:miRNA from 1 species